rnacentral:rRNA from 1 species
ACACGUAGGGGGCAAGCGUUGUCCGGAUUUACUGGGUGUAAAGGGUGCGUAGGCGGCUCUGCAAGUCAGGUGUGAAAACCAUCGGCUUAACUGAUGGACUGCAUUUGAAACUGUGGGGCUUGAGUGGAGUAGAGGCAGACGGAACUCCCGGUGUAGCGGUGAAAUGCGUAGAGAUCGGGAAGAACACCAGUGGCGAAGGCGGUUUGCUGGGCUCUAACUGACGCUGAGGCACGAAAGCAUGGGUAGCAAACAGGAUUAGAUACCCUGGUAGUCCAUGCCAUAAACGAUGAUUACUAGGUGUGGGGAGUCUGACCCUCUCCGUGCCGGAGUUAACACAAUAAGUAAUCCACCUGGGAAGUACGACCGCAAGGUUGAA